rnacentral:rRNA from 1 species
GAUGAACGCUGGCGGCGUGCCUAAUACAUGCAAGUCGAGCGAACAGACGAGGAGCUUGCUCCUCUGACGUUAGCGGCGGACGGGUGAGUAACACGUGGAUAACCUACCUAUAAGACUGGGAUAACUUCGGGAAACCGGAGCUAAUACCGGAUAAUAUUUUGAACCGCAUGGUUCAAUAGUGAAAGACGGUCUUGCUGUCACUUAUAGAUGGAUCCGCGCUGCAUUAGCUAGUUGGUAAGGUAACGGCUUACCAAGGCGACGAUGCAUAGCCGACCUGAGAGGGUGAUCGGCCACACUGGAACUGAGACACGGUCCAGACUCCUACGGGAGGCAGCAGUAGGGAAUCUUCCGCAAUGGGCGAAAGCCUGACGGAGCAACGCCGCGUGAGUGAUGAAGGUCUUCGGAUCGUAAAACUCUGUUAUUAGGGAAGAACAAAUGUGUAAGUAACUAUGCACGUCUUGACGGUACCUAAUCAGAAAGCCACGGCUAACUACGUG